rnacentral:rRNA from 1 species
AACGAACGCUGGCGGCAGGCCUAACACAUGCAAGUCGAGCGAGGUAGCAAUACCUAGCGGCGGACGGGUGAGUAACGCGUGGGAACGUGCCCCUUGGUACGGAAUAGCCCCGGGAAACUGGGAGUAAUACCGUAUGAGCUCUACGGAGGAAAGAUUUAUCGCCAAGGGAUCGGCCCGCGUUGGAUUAGGUAGUUGGUGGGGUAAUGGCCUACCAAGCCGACGAUCCAUAGCUGGUUUGAGAGGAUGAUCAGCCACACUGGGACUGAGACACGGCCCAGACUCCUACGGGAGGCAGCAGUGGGGAAUCUUAGACAAUGGGGGAAACCCUGAUCUAGCCAUGCCGCGUGAUCGAUGAAGGCCUUAGGGUUGUAAAGAUCUUUCAGUGGGGAAGAUAAUGACUGUACCCACAGAAGAAGCCCCGGCUAACUCCGUGCCAGCAGCCGCCGCAAUAACAC